rnacentral:rRNA from 1 species
CUACGGGUGGCUCCAGUGAGGAAUAUUGGUCAAUGGGCGCAAGCCUGAACCAGCCAUCCCGCGUGAAGGAUGACUGCCCUAUGGGUUGUAAACUUCUUUUCUGUACCAAGAAAAUGGCCACGUGUGGCUAACUGACGGUAGUACAGGAAUAAGCAUCGGCUAACUCCGUGCCAGCAGCCGCGGUAAUACGGAGGAUGCAAGCGUUAUCCGGAUUUAUUGGGUUUAAAGGGUCCGCAGGCGGGCCGGUAAGUCAGUGGUGAAAUCCUGCAGCUUAACUGUAGAACUGCCAUUGAUACUGUCGGUCUUGAGUAUGGUUGAGGUAGGCGGAAUGAGUAGUGUAGCGGUGAAAUGCUUAGAUAUUACUCAGAACACCGAUUGCGAAGGCAGCUUACUAAACCAUUACUGACGCUGAUGGACGAAAGCGUGGGGAGCGAACAGGAUUAGAUACCCGCGUAGUC